rnacentral:rRNA from 1 species
ACUCCUACGGGAGGCAGCAGUGGGGAAUAUUGCACAAUGGGCGCAAGCCUGAUGCAGCCAUGCCGCGUGUAUGAAGAAGGCCUUCGGGUUGUAAAGUACUUUUCAGCAGUGAGGAAGGUGGAUAUGUUAAUAGCAUAUUCAUUUGACGUUAAGCUGCAGAAGAAGCACCGGCUAACUCCGUGCCAGCAGCCGCGGUAAUACGGAGGGUGCGAGCGUUAAUCGGAAUUACUGGGCGUAAAGCGCAUGCAGGUGGUUUGUUAAGUCAGAUGUGAAAGCCCGGGGCUCAACCUCGGAAUUGCAUUUGAAACUGGCAAACUAGAGUACUGUAGAGGGGGGGUAGAAUUUCAGGUGUAGCGGUGAAAUGCGUAGAGAUCUGAAGGAUACCGGUGGCGAAGGCGGCCCCCUGGACAGAUACUGACACUCAGAUGCGAAAGCGUGGGGAGCGAAACAGGAUUAGAUACCCUGGUAGGCUCUGCUAGUCGUGGGGGGACAAGGGCACACAGGGGGGA